rnacentral:misc_RNA from 1 species
UGGCUCUCGCAUCGAUGAAGAACGCAGCGAAAUGCGAUAAGUAAUGUGAAUUGCAGAAUUCAGUGAAUCAUCGAAUCUUUGAACGCACCUUGCGCCCUCUGGUAUUCCGGAGGGCAUGCCUGUUUGAGUGUCUUGAUAUCAUCAAUCCCUUGGGUUUGCGCCCGACGCGGGUUGGAGCUGGGGGUCUGCUGCCGUGAGGCGGCUCCCCUUAAAAUCAUCGGUUUGGCCCGUACCAUGCGGCUAGCACCUUGGCGUUGUAUUCUCCUCGCCUUCGAUCGGUCUCGCUCGCUUCCGCGCCUCACCUCGACUUGCCCUUUGGGUGGCGGUCACUUCUUGACAAUCUGGCCUCAAAUCAGGUAGGACUACCCGCUGA